GGUGGAUGCGCUGCUGGAUGGUUGUGUGCUAGACGCGCUGAGGAGUAGGCCACGUGGUCUGGACAUGGCGGUUCCCAGCGAGACAAACGGAGGGGACCUGAAGAGUCGGAGCAGUGCAGGAGGAUGAGACCCCAGGCGUACGCUGCGCUCAAACGUUCUGGCUAUACAUAAGGGCCGUCUCCGAUCCAUGAAGCUCAUCGUCUGGUAAGACGCACACUCCAAGGCGUCUGGUGCUGUGCUACAGAAAUAAAGGGUUCUGUACUUGCCCUUCAUUUGAAGAUUAGUAAAGUGGGGUUCAGCAGCUGACUCAACUGCAAAUCCGCUGUUGAGUGGACAUCUUUUGGUGCAGUCACGGACAAGACAUAUGUAUAAGGAUAAAACUUCUUUAUUAAUAGCUUUGACAACACGUUUCAGAGUCAUUGGGUGUCAGCCAGAGGAUGCGUCCGGAUGCUCUGAAUAUCUGGCUUCUCGGUGUGAUUGUGUCAAAAGAUGUCCACUCAACAGUGGUUUUGAAGCUGCUUCAGCUGCUGAACCCCACUUUGCUGCUACCUCGUGAAGGUUGGCUCCCAAGACAUCGGCAGCUGUGGCCUUUAGAGACCACUGGACGCCUACAGUGGUGGUCUGCCAACAAAAGGUAGUUUGGAAGUCUACAUGACCAGCUUGAGAAUAUGAACAAGUUGUCCGAAGAAUAUUUGUCCUAUAUGUUCAGUGGUUUUUUUUUGUUUUUUUUUUAAGUCUCAGAUAAUUUUAGAAUAUUUUGUAUUUUUAUACCAUCACAUUAAAGCAGUUUAAACCAA